rnacentral:rRNA from 1 species
CCUACGGGAGGCAGCAGUAGGGAAUCUUCCGCAAUGGACGAAAGUCUGACGGAGCAACGCCGCGUGAGUGAUGAAGGCUUUCGGGUCGUAAAACUCUGUUGUUAGGGAAGAACAAGUGCUAGUUGAAUAAGCUGGCACCUUGACGGUACCUAACCAGAAAGCCACGGCUAACUACGUGCCAGCAGCCGCGGUAAUACGUAGGUGGCAAGCGUUAUCCGGAAUUAUUGGGCGUAAAGCGCGCGCAGGUGGUUUCUUAAGUCUGAUGUGAAAGCCCACGGCUCAACCGUGGAGGGUCAUUGGAAACUGGGAGACUUGAGUGCAGAAGAGGAAAGUGGAAUUCCAUGUGUAGCGGUGAAAUGCGUAGAGAUAUGGAGGAACACCAGUGGCGAAGGCGACUUUCUGGUCUGUAACUGACACUGAGGCGCGAAAGCGUGGGGAGCAAACAGGAUUAGAUACCCUGGUAGUC